rnacentral:rRNA from 1 species
GAUGAACGCUGGCGGCGUGCCUAAUACAUGCAAGUCGAGCGAACAGAUAAGGAGCUUGCUCCUUUGACGUUAGCGGCGAACGGGUGAGUAACACGUGGAUAACCUACCUAUAAGACUGGGAUAACUUCGGGAAACCGGAGCUAAUACCGGAUAACAUAUUGAACCGCAUGGUUCAAUAGUGAAAGGCGGCUUUGCUGUCACUUAUAGAUGGAUCCGCGCCGUAUUAGCUAGUUGGUAAGGUAACGGCUUACCAAGGCAACGAUACGUAGCCGACCUGAGAGGGUGAUCUGCCACACUGGAACUGAGACACGGUCCAGACUCCUACGGGAGGCAGCAGUAGGGAAUCUUCCGCAAUGGGCGAAAGCCUGACGGAGCAACGCCGCGUGAGUGAUGAAGGUCUUCGGAUCGUAAAACUCUGUUAUCAGGGAAGAACAAAUGUGUAAGUAACUGUGCACAUCUUGACGGUACCUGAUCAGAAAGCCACGGCUAACUACGUG